rnacentral:misc_RNA from 1 species
GAUGAAGAACGCAGCGAAAUGCGAUACGUAGUGUGAAUUGCAGAAUUCAGUGAAUCAUCGAAUCUUUGAUCGCACAUUGCACCUCUCGGUAUUCCGGGAGGUAUGCCUGUUCGAGCGUCAUUUGUACCCUCAAGCUCUGCUUGGUGUUGGGUGUUUGUUCCGCCUCUGUGUGUGAACUCGCCUCAAAACAAUUGGCAGCCGGCGUACUUGUUUCGGAGCGCAGCACAUUUUGCGAUCCAGAUCAACGUACAGCGGCAUCCAAGAAGCCUUAUUUAACGCUCUUGACCUCGGAUCAGGUAGGGAUACCCGCUGAACUUAAGCAUAUCAAUAAGCGGAGGA